AUUGAACGCUGGCGGCAGGCUUAACACAUGCGAGUCGAGCGGAGCGAGGGUGCUUGCACCUUAGCUUAGCGGCGGACGGGUGAGUAAUGCUUAGGAAUCUGCCUAUUAGUGGGGGACAACAUUCCGAAAGGGAUGCUAAUACCGCAUACGCCCUACGGGGGAAAGCAGGGGAUCUUCGGACCUUGCGCUAAUAGAUGAGCCUAAGUCGGAUUAGCUAGUUGGUGGGGUAAAGGCCUACCAAGGCGACGAUCUGUAGCGGGUCUGAGAGGAUGAUCCGCCACACUGGGACUGAGACACGGCCCAGACUCCUACGGGAGGCAGCAGUGGGGAAUAUUGGACAAUGGGGGGAACCCUGAUCCAGCCAUGCCGCGUGUGUGAAGAAGACCUUUUGGUUGUAAAGCACUUUAAGCGAGGAGGAGGCGCUCUAGGUUAAUACCCUAGAUGCGUGGACGUUACUCGCAGAAUAAGCACCGGCUAACUCUGUGCCAGCCGCCGCCGUAACAC
rnacentral:rRNA from 1 species